UCGUGUUUGCUGCGGUGACACGGUGCCGCACUGAGUGAAGAUUGCGUUCAUAAUCACUUAUCGGGGGUGGAGUGGGGAAAGGAGAGUCAGGAAGAGAGGAUAUUUAUAUUAUUUGACAUAUUAUUUGAUAGCAUGUCAACUUUUGUGGGUGGGUGUUGGAUCAGUGACAGGUGGCGCUGGGGAGUUACCACGGCGAGCGGCUGGCUGGCUGCAGUGUUUUGGUCAGCACUGGUCAAUCUUGCCCUACACGCUCUAUUAACCAGUGUUUCCAUCUUCCCGACACCUUCUUCCUGCACCAAACACCGUCAAGCAUCACCAGAGAGGCACGAGUACGUAAGACUGAACGCCUUAUGCAGUUGACACUCUCUGAGAGACGCAAAAAAAUAAUCAAUGGGAACGAACAUUCUUGUAGCAGAAAUCCUGAACUUGUACCCGUGGAUUCAGACUUUUGAUGGCAUAAUCAAGGAGUUCCUGAAAUUAGAACCACAAGCGGAUGAACCAGACCCAAGGGUAGCAGUUUUGAAAGGGCUGGAGAAAUAUAGGCUCCCAAUAAUUGCCAUUCUCAAAAAAAGAAAAGCAGUUCCUCUGUAUAUGGAAACCUUACUUGAACUCUAUGACCACAAUGAAAGUGAGUAAUGUCUAGUUCAACUUGUUCAUUUCAGUAGCUGGUAGCAAUUUAAUAUAUGUAUCUUUUCAUCAUUAGCAAUGCAUCUUUCACUUUUAUAAGCCUAGUAUUCAUGAAACUAUGCUGCAUGCAAAAACCAAACAUUGUAUUAAGCAUGACCUAUCUAACUGUAAUGCUUGCACCAAUUUCUAUAAAGGUACUAAUUUAAUUGUUAAAUUCCUGCUCUUCUAUCAAAUUUUUGGCUGAGUGCUAUGGCUAAAUAAUUGUUUGCAGCAUAAGUGAUGUUAAAGAUUUUAAUAGGUGUAAAGCAUCUCUCUCUCUCUCUCUCUCUCUCUCUCUCUCUCUCUCUCUCUCUCUCUCUCUCUCUCUCUCGUAAGGAAAGACAUUAUUUCUAGUGUAAAUAAACCCAAUA